UACGGGGGGGGGCAAGCGUUUGUUCGGAAUUACUGGGCGUAAAGGGCUCGUAGGCGGCCAACUAAGUCAGACGUGAAAUCCCUCGGCUUAACCGGGGGAACUGCGUCUGAUACUGGAUGGCUUGAAUCCGGGAGAGGGAUGCGGAAUUCCAGGUGUAGCGGUGAAAUGCGUAGAUAUCUGGAGGAACACCGGUGGCGAAGGCGACAUCCUGGACCGGUAUUGACGCUGAGUGAGCGAAAGCCAGGGGAGCAAACGGG
rnacentral:rRNA from 1 species